CCAUCUAACACUUUCCCAUAAGAUCUUUAUGGAUAAGACGGAGAUGGGGGUUGGGUUAGGAUUUACUCAAGUUGGGUUUAUCCAAGGUCAUUUCUAAAGGCUGACUGUUGGUGGACACAUGGAGGUCUGAAUUGGCAGGCUCUGUCCUCGUCUUACCAGAUGGCCUUCCCAGGUGGCACAGUGGUAAAGAAUCCACCUGUCAAUGUAGGAGAUGCCAGAAGCACCGGUUCAAUCCCUGUGUGGGGAAGAUCCCCUGAAGUAGGAAAUGGCAACCCACUCCAGUAUUCUUGCCUGAAAAAUUCCGUGAGCAGAGGAGCCUCGGAUCAAAAAAAAGUCCGCGGGGUCUCAAAGGGUCAGGUGCAACUGAUCGACUAAGCACUCAUGCAUAUACCCAUCUUACCUUACAUGACAUUGUUAUAAAUUUUCUGGUUGAGGAUAUUGGUAGUAGGUUAAGACAAUUGUAAAUGACCUGCCACCCGAAGAAAUAGCUCUUGAAUGAGAAGACAACAUUGAUACCUAAAAGCAUCCUGAUAAGUUUGGACUAUGGUAGAAUCUAUGCAAAUGAAAUUUCAUCUGUCUUUCCAAUCCAAUGGCACAAAUAUAUAAUGGAGAGAAAAAGCCUAGCCUAGAAUGCUAGGUUUAUAAGAAAGCAUUUCACUGGACAGUAAGCUGAGUGUAAAGAUAGCUGCCAGAAAAAGUAAUGGCUAAGGGCCAUGCUACUAAUAGACUCAAGGACUUUUUAAUUACUAAGCACUCUUUGAAAGAAGUGAAAGUGGCUCAGUUGUGUCCAACUCUUUGCGACUCCAUGGACUAUACAGCCCAUAGAAUACUCCAGGCCAGCAUACUGGAGUGGGUAGCCGUUCCCUUUUCCAGGGGAUCUUCCCAACGCAGGGAUCAAACCCAGGUGGGCGGAUUCUUUACCAGCUGAGCUAUAAAGAUUCUGAUAGGCCUGGUAUGUCAUUCUACUGCUGAAAUCCUGCCUAAAGUUCAGUAAACAUUUCCCCCCUCCCCCCUUUUAAACUUUCUCCUCUAAUAAGUAAUAAAUGCACGUUAUAGGAAAUUACAGAAAAGCGUAAAGAAAAAGGCCCAUACUAAAUGCAGUACUUACAUCAUUUUGGCCCCUUUCCAUCUUUCUCAACAAAAUGUUUAUGUAAUUAUGUGUACAAUUUUGCAUUUGUCUUUAGAGAAAAAUUUCCUGUGUUUGUAAACAUCUUUUCAUGGCUGCAAAUAUUCCAUCAUAUGGCUGUAUCAUUAUUUACUUAGCUCUUCCCAGUUUUUGGAUGGUUUCCAAUUUUUGUCUAUAAUCUGAAAUGCAAACAGAUUUAUUCAUAAAGUAAUGCUUCAUGGUGAUAUUCAUACUAGCACAUAAUCACAAACAGCCUAAGUAUCACUUUUUAAAGACACUGAUAUCUGAAUGAGGAGAAGAGUAGCUUUAUAUCCAGCUCUCUUUCUUUGGGGAAACAAAAUAAGUCUUCAGCAUUUAACAUCUAAGUGAGCACGUCAGUGAUAUACCCACCACCAACCCUCAAACAGAACUGUUCCAAGAAAUUUGCUGCCAGUGCCAGCAUCUUCUGUGUCAUUAUCUGUCAGUCUUUCCUUGUCUUGCUGCUUUUUUCACCCUAAAGGUUUCUCUCUCAAAAUUUAUAGAUCACAUUUGACCUUGAUCAUGCUGGGGGAGACAGAACAAAUUUUUUAAAAGAUUUUUUAGAACUUUUAUUCUCUUCAUUACCUUAUUAUAAAUUAAUAAUUAUUAAAAAUAUGUUUCACAGUGGGAAAAAGCACAUGAGCAAUUGUACAAAACUUGCCUACAGACAUCAGCCUCUAGCAGCCACUCCUAGAAGCAGCAGUGCUUUAGUCUUGGUGCACGGACCCCUGUCCAUCCAUCGAGGCCCACCUCAUUUCCACCAUAUGAGUCAUUGCCCUUGAACGAUGCUACAGUCUGGACUAGUUCUGAUGUCUUCUGUAGGUCUUGCAAAUAGAAGGAAUUCCCAGCCUCAUGCUUCCACUGACAAUGGUAAGAGGCUCACCUGGCCCUUCGGUGUCUCAAAUGUUUCAACGACUGCUCUUCAAGUCACAAAUAUGGAGCCGUUAUCCUGAAACUGCAGCAAUAGAAAGCAACAAACUCCUUUAUAUGCAGCAACAUGGAUGAUUUAUGCUCAGUAAAAGAAGCCAGAUUUAAAAGGCAGCAUACGCUAGGAUUCCAUUUAUAUGACAUUCUAGAAAUGGCCAAACAACAGGGAAAAUAAAUCAGGUCAGUCACUGCCAGGGUAUGAAGGUAGGCAAGGGGACUGGCCAAACAGGGGGGCACAUGUGAAUUUUGGAGCAAAAAGGAAAUAUUCUCUAUCUUGAUUAAGGAAAUGGUUAUGCAAAUGUAUACUUUUGCCAAAAUUCAUAGAACUGUACACUUAAAAAGGUGAAUAAGGAAUAUGAAAUAUACCCCAAUAUAAACUGCCAACAAGCACAUGA